GGGGAAUUAGCUCAGAUGUUAGAGUGCUCGCUUAGCAUGCGAGAGGUGGCGGGAUUGAUGCCCGCAUUCUCCA
rnacentral:tRNA from 1 species